UACAGAGGGUGCGAGCGUUUAAUCGGAAUUACUGGGCGUAAAGCGUGCGUAGACGGCUAUCUAAGUCGGGUGUGAAAGCCCCGGGCUCAACCUGGGAAUUGCAUUGGAUACUGGCAGGCUAGAGUGCGGUAGAGGGUAGUGGAAUUCCCGGUGUAGCAGUGAAAUGCGUAGAGAUCGGGAGGAACAUCUGUGGCGAAGGCGACUACCUGGACCAGCACUGACACUGAGGCACGAAAAGCGUGGGGGAGCAAACAGG
rnacentral:rRNA from 1 species